rnacentral:rRNA from 1 species
UACAGAGGGGGCUAGCGUUGUUCGGAAUUACUGGGCGUAAAGGGCGCGUAGGUGGCCUGUUAAGUCGAACGUGAAAUCCCCGGGCUCAACCCGGGAACUGCGUCCGAGACUGGCAGGCUCGAAUCCGGGAGAGGGAUGUGGAAUUCCAGGUGUAGCGGUGAAAUGCGUAGAUAUCUGGAGGAACACCGGUGGCGAAGGCGGCAUCCUGGACCGGUAUUGACGCUGAGGUGCGAAAGCGUGGGGAGCAAACAGG